GUAGAACAAUUCUUGGUGGUGGAUCACUCGGCUCGUGCGUCGAUGAAGUACGCAGUCAGCUGCGAGAGUUAGUGUGAAUUGCAGAACCUCACUGAUCAUCGACACUUCGAACGCAAAUGGCGGUCCGGGGUUCCUCGCCGAGCCUCGGACCACGUUCGGCUGAGCGU
rnacentral:rRNA from 1 species